ensembl:lncRNA
UGGUGUUCCAGGAAGAACCAUGGAGAUGAAGGUAGAGCAGGAUAGAAAAAAAAGUUCUUGUUGGUCCGGGCAUAUUCGGUCACUGAUGGACCUCUGAAUCAUUAUUUUUUUAUAGGACAUUGAAGCCUUGUUUGAGUCCUAUGGCAUACAGGUGUGGUGUCACACACACACACACACACACACACACACACACACACUCCAUAUCACACACUCCAUGUCACUAACACUCAGCUUCCAUUUGCAGCUCUCACUGCUCAGAGCUCUGAUUGACAGACUCCUACAGGACGGCAUGGAGGAGCUUCUGCAUGACUUCUCAUCCAGGAAGAGGGUAAAGGUCAAAGAGCAUGAGACCAGCUCCAACAUCAUCACAGAGUACACGAACGCGGUGAACUAUGAAUUCUCCAGCGAACCGCUGAGUGAGGUGGAUGUGGGUGAGGACGCAGAUGAAGAGGGACCACUGCAGGAACCCAGCGACACUGUGUAUCUCCACAACAUUACGUACACUGUGAGUUCAAACCAGACUGAAGACAACAGGAAAAUCCCUACAGCAACGUUCAUCACUGCAGGAAACGUGGAGCAUAUGGACAGAAAUGCAGCUGUAGAUGGUCAGGAUCAGACAGGAGCCCUGGAGCUUCAGUUCUCCGCUGAGGAGGCGGACCCUGGCCAGGCCGAGCCAGCUGUGGCCACCAACCUACCUAUUCUGGGUGAGAUACCGAAGAAGACCUCUGGAGAGAAGAAGCGAGGGAAGGAGCGAGGAAAGGUUGAGUACAGUACAGCAGGGCAGCAUUACACGCAGGAGAAUGAGGGAGAGGAGAGGACACGUUCACACGAAGAAGAAGAAGACCACUUGCAGGAUGGAGCCCCACCCAACCAGACAGACACUGCAGCAGAGGAGAAAUCAGACAAUGAACCUCAGGAGACUCCACCCAGCCCUGGUGUAGCCCCGCCCAGGAGCAGAAUGAAGAGGAGCGCCCCCUGGCGGGAUGUCACGGGUUCUAUGCCAGGAAUGCCGGGCGGGAAGAAUCGCUACAAGGCGGGACACAAACACAAAUCCCGCUCUGGUGCUAAAGGGAGGAAGAAGCAGAAUGAAAAGAAACCAGCCAAUCACAACCCAGAUCCUGAGCUGGACACCAGAGAGAUAGACAGAUCACCAGAAGACAGGCAGGAAGACACAGCGACAGGUUAUAGUGAUGAGGUGGGAGACAGUGAGCGAGGAGGAGAGGAGGAAGUCGACCCAGAGACUGAAACAGAUUACAACUCCGGAACUGAGCCUGAUCCUGAAGACGACCUGAACCCGGACAAGGAGACAGAGACAGACAGAGAGGGAGGACAGUCAGGGCUGGACUAUUAUAGUCACACAGACAGGUUGGAGGGGG